CCUCGCGAGGCUGCGGCUGGGGCAGAAAUCCGUCUCUGUGAGCGGAGGAGGGUGUGCUUAUGCGAGAGCAGGUUUUGGGAGCUCACUAAAGCAGGUCCCUGAUUCUGGUCUUGAAUAGCGGAGGAGGAAAAGAAGAUGAUGGGGGAAAAGAAAAGAAGCCAUUUAUGCAUCCCUCCCUAAUUCAGUAUCCGAGCAUGAGGGAGUGUCAAGCUAGUGGGGAAGAAGAGAGGGUUUAGUUUUGAAUGAAGUUGGGAGUUUUUAUUAUUGCACUGAACUAAAUAGGCAUUUUACUAAAGUCAAGACUGUUCUUGUUAUUUAAAGGAACGGGAUCAUCAAUGGAACUCUUUGAGAUUUCAUCCAGAGGCUGGGAAAGAACAUUCAUGGUAGCUUUUAUUAUUAUUUUCAUUAUUGUAAGUUGAGGAAGAGAAAACCCAGGAAAAUAUACAAAGAGUGAUUGGAAUUAAUAAGAGUAAAACAAGGUGGCUGUAUAAAAGGUCAAUAUUCAAAAUCAAUUUUGUUAUUACUUACUAGCAACAUAAUUUUUUUUUUUUUUUUUUGAGACAGAGUUUCACUCUUGUUGCCCAGGCUGGAGUGCAACGGCGUGAUCUUGGCUCACUGCAACCUCCACCUCCCGGGUUCAAGCGAUUCUCCUGCCUCAGCCUCCCGAGUAGCUGGGAUUACAGGCAUGCACCGCCACACCUGGCUAAUUUUGUAUUUUUAGUACAGAUGGAGUUUCACCAUGUUGGUCAGGCUGGUCUCGAACUCCUGACCUCAGGUGAUCUGCCCGCCUCAGCAUCCCAAAAUGCUGGGAUUAUAGGCAUGAGCCACCGCACCUGGCCAGCAACAUAAUCUUUCUUUAAAAAUAUACCUGUUCACGACUGAGGCUCAGGGAAAAGAAAAGGAAAAAAAAUACCAUCUACAGUAGCAACAAAAUAUAAGAUUUUCAGAAUCAAUCUAACAAAAAAUGUACAAUAUGUACAGGAGAAAAUCCUGAAAUGUUACUGAAAAAAAUUAGGAAAUAUCAAUAAAUGGAGUGCUAUAUCAUAUUCCUGGAAGGAUUCAAUAGCAUAACAAUGUUAACUCCCCCAAAAUUGAUCUAGAAAUUCAAUUCUAUUCCAAUCAAAAUGCCAGCAGAGUAUUUGUGGGUGUGAUUUGAUGCUCUGAUUAUAUAAUUCAAAUAGAACAACAAGGAUCCAAGAAUAACCAGAACAACUUUAAAGAACAAGGUGGGUGAACUACCUCUACCACAUAUUAAGUCUCAUUAUGAGAUACAGUUUUUAAGACAGCCUGGCAUUAGAGUAAGGACAGAAAAACAAAAGAAUAAAACAACAUAAAGAGAGAAACACGACAGAAAAAGAAUAUACAAAACAGAAACAGACCCAAACAUAUAAAGAAACUUGACAGGUGACAGAGCAGCAUUAACUAUUCCUGGACUGAUUAUCCAUGUGGAAAAAGUUAAUCAGAUUUCCACCUCAUACAUACAAAUUUAUUUAUAUAAAAUAAAUUCCAGAUGAAUUAAACCUAAAUGUGGAAAGCAAAACUUUGAAAAUACAGGAAUAUGUAAAAACAUAUAUGUAUGAUCCACAUAUAUGAUAAAAUGGAGGAUAGCAGGGCACAGCAGCAUGCACCUGUAGUCCUGCCUCAGCCUCUUUAGUAGGUGAGGUAGCUGAGGCAGAAGAAUCACUUGAGCCCAGGAAUUCGAGGCCAGCUUGGGCAACAUAGCAAGACCCAGUCUCUAAAAACAAUUUAAAAAGUUUACAAAAAAGAAUAAUAAGGCAUAAAAGGGUUUCUUAAAAAGCACAAACAAUAAAGAAAAUCCUGAUAAAUUCAGUAACAUUAAAUUUAGAAACUCACGUCUAACAAAAGACACUAAUUUUGAAAAGUCAAAGAUGGGCCACUGACCUAGAGUAAACAUUUGCAAAACAUAAAGCUAUCAAGGAUUAUUAUCUAGAAUGAAUAUAUGUAUAAUUAUACUAGAAUGAAUAUAUAUAUAUAUACACACACACACACACACACACAUACACACACACAUUUUUUUCUACCAAUCAAUAAGAAAAAAAGAUUAUAGAAACAUUGGCAAGGGAUAUAAACAGGUAAUUAACAGAAGAGCCUGGCAUUAGAGUAAGGACAGAAGAAGAGAUGGAUGGAUGGUCAAUGAACAUGAGAAAUAUACUUCCUUUCACUGGUAAUCAGGAAAAUGAAAGAAACAAGAUACCAUAACCCAGUGAAUUUACAAAAAUCUUAAAGUUUGACAAUAACAAAUGUUGACAAAGAUGCUGAGUUAUGGAAACUCUCAAACCCUGUUAAUGGGAGAAUAACCUGGUGUAACUGCUUUGAAGAGCAAAUUGGUAAUACCUAGCAAAAUGAAAGUGCAUAUAUUCUACAACCCAACAAUUUUGCUUCUACCAGCUAUCUUAGAGAAACACUUGCAUUAUGUAUACAAGAAGUUAUGUACACAAAGGUUUGCUGUAGCAUCUUUGUAACUCCCAAAUUUGGAAACAAUGUAAAUGUCUAUCAACAGGAAAAUGAAUAAGAACAUUGUGGUUUAUUAACUCAAUGGAUUGAAUGAACUAGAAUAACAUACUGAGGAAUAUCACCAGUGUUGAAUGAGAAAAGCAAAAGGAAGAAGUAUAUAUACCAUUUAUUUAAAGAAAGAGAACAUGCAAAACAAUGCUAUAUAUUGUUUAGUAUGUAUACACUGAUAUAUAGACUGCUUUUACUACAUUAUACAUGUAAUAAA
rnacentral:lncRNA from 10 species